rnacentral:rRNA from 1 species
AGAUUAAGUUAUUAAGGGCGCACGGUGGAUGCCUUGGCACUAGAAGCCGAUGAAGGACGUUACUAACGACGAUAUGCUUUGGGUAGCUGUAAGUAAGCGUUGAUCCAGAGAUUUCCGAAUGGGGGAACCCAGCAUGAGUUAUGUCAUGUUAUCGACAUGUGAAUUCAUAGCAUGUCAGAAGGCAGACCCGGAGAACUGAAACAUCUUAGUACCCGGAGGAAGAGAAAGAAAAAUCGAUUCCCUGAGUAGCGGCGAGCGAAACGGGAAGAGCCCAAACCAACAAGCUUGCUUGUUGGGGUUGUAGGACACUCUAUACGGAGUUACAAAAGAACGUGUUAGACGAAUCAUCUGGAAAGAUGAAUCAAAGAAGGUAAUAAUCCUGUAGUCGAAAACAUAUUCUCUCUUGAGUGGAUCCUGAGUACGACGGAGCACGUGAAAUUCCGUCGGAAUCUGGGAGGACCAUCUCCUAAGGCUAAAUACUCUCUAGUGACCGAUAGUGAACCAGUACCGUGAGGGAAAGGUGAAAAGUACCCCGGAAGGGGAGUGAAAGAGAACUUGAAACCGUGUGCUUACAAGUAGUCAGAGCCCGUUAAUGGGUGAUGGCGUGCCUUUUGUAGAAUGAACCGGCGAGUUACGAUCUGAUGCAAGGUUAAGCAGCAAAUGUGGAGCCGCAGCGAAAGCGAGUCUGAAUAGGGCGUUGAGUAUUUGGUCGUAGACCCGAAACCAGGUGAUCUACCCUUGGUCAGGUUGAAGUUCAGGUAACACUGAAUGGAGGACCGAACCGACUUACGUUGAAAAGUGAGCGGAUGAACUGAGGGUAGCGGAGAAAUUCCAAUCGAACUUGGAGAUAGCUGGUUCUCUCCGAAAUAGCUUUAGGGCUAGCCUCAAGUGAUGAUUAUUGGAGGUAGAGCACUGUUUGGACGAGGGGCCCCUCUCGGGUUACCGAAUUCAGACAAACUCCGAAUGCCAAUUAAUUUAACUUGGGAGUCAGAACAUGGGUGAUAAGGUCCGUGUUCGAAAGGGAAACAGCCCAGACCACCAGCUAAGGUCCCAAAAUAUAUGUUAAGUGGAAAAGGAUGUGGCGUUGCCCAGACAACUAGGAUGUUGGCUUAGAAGCAGCCAUCAUUUAAAGAGUGCGUAAUAGCUCACUAGUCGAGUGACACUGCGCCGAAAAUGUACCGGGGCUAAACAUAUUACCGAAGCUGUGGAUUGUCCUUUGAACAAUGGUAGGAGAGCGUUCUAAGGGCGUCGAAGCAUGAUCGCAAGGACAUGUGGAGCGCUUAGAAGUGAGAAUGCCGGUGUGAGUAGCGAAAGACGGGUGAGAAUCCCGUCCACCGAUUGACUAAGGUUUCCAGAGGAAGGCUCGUCCGCUCUGGGUUAGUCGGGUCCUAAGCUGAGGCCGACAGGCGUAGGCGAUGGAUAACAGGUUGAUAUUCCUGUACCACCUAGUAUCGUUUUAAUCGAUGGGGGGACGCAGUAGGAUAGGCGAAGCGUGCUGUUGGAGUGCACGUCCAAGCAGUAAGGCUGAGUGUUAGGCAAAUCCGACACUCAUAAGGCUGAGCUGUGAUGGGGAGAGGAAAUUGUUUCCUCGAGUCGUUGAUUUCACACUGCCGAGAAAAGCCUCUAGAUAGAUAACAGGUGCCCGUACCGCAAACCGACACAGGUAGUCAAGAUGAGAAUUCUAAGGUGAGCGAGCGAACUCUCGUUAAGGAACUCGGCAAAAUGACCCCGUAACUUCGGGAGAAGGGGUGCUCUUUAGGGUUCACGCCCAGAAGAGCCGCAGUGAAUAGGCCCAAGCGACUGUUUAUCAAAAACACAGGUCUCUGCUAAACCGUAAGGUGAUGUAUAGGGGCUGACGCCUGCCCGGUGCUGGAAGGUUAAGAGGAGUGGUUAGCUUCUGCGAAGCUACGAAUCGAAGCCCCAGUAAACGGCGGCCGUAACUAUAACGGUCCUAAGGUAGCGAAAUUCCUUGUCGGGUAAGUUCCGACCCGCACGAAAGGCGUAACGAUUUGGGCACUGUCUCAACGAGAGACUCGGUGAAAUCAUAGUACCUGUGAAGAUGCAGGUUACCCGCGACAGGACGGAAAGACCCCGUGGAGCUUUACUGUAGCCUGAUAUUGAAAUUCGGCACAGCUUGUACAGGAUAGGUAGGAGCCUUUGAAACGUGAGCGCUAGCUUACGUGGAGGCGUUGGUGGGAUACUACCCUAGCUGUGUUGGCUUUCUAACCCGCACCACUUAUCGUGGUGGGUGACAGUGUCAGGCGGGCAGUUUGACUGGGGCGGUCGCCUCCUAAAAGGUAACGGAGGCGCUCAAAGGUUCCCUCAGAAUGGUUGGAAAUCAUUCAUAGAGUGUAAAGGCAUAAGGGAGCUUGACUGCGAGACCUACAAGUCGAGCAGGGUCGAAAGACGGACUUAGUGAUCCGGUGGUUCCGCAUGGAAGGGCCAUCGCUCAACGGAUAAAAGCUACCCCGGGGAUAACAGGCUUAUCUCCCCCAAGAGUUCACAUCGACGGGGAGGUUUGGCACCUCGAUGUCGGCUCAUCGCAUCCUGGGGCUGUAGUCGGUCCCAAGGGUUGGGCUGUUCGCCCAUUAAAGCGGUACGCGAGCUGGGUUCAGAACGUCGUGAGACAGUUCGGUCCCUAUCCGUCGUGGGCGUAGGAAAUUUGAGAGGAGCUGUCCUUAGUACGAGAGGACCGGGAUGGACAUACCUCUGGUGUACCAGUUGUCGUGCCAACGGCAUAGCUGGGUAGCUAUGUAUGGACGGGAUAAGUGCUGAAAGCAUCUAAGCAUGAAGCCCCCCUCAAGAUGAGAUUUCCCAACUUCGGUUAUAAGAUCCCUCGAAGAUGACGAGGUUAAUAGGUUCGAGGUGGAAGCGUGGUGACACGUGGAGCUGACGAAUACUAAUCGAUCGAAGACUUAAUCAAUUU